UACGUAGGUGGCAAGCGUUGUCCGGAUUUACUGGGCGGAAAGGGCGUGCAGGCGGUUUGUUAAGUCUAGGGUGAAAGCUCCCGGCUCAACUGGGAGAGGUCCUUGGAUACCGGCGAACUUGAGGGAUGCAGAGGAAAGUGGAAUUCCCGGUGUAGUGGUGAUAUGCGUAGAUAUCGGGAGGAACACCAGUGGCGAAGGCGGCUUUCUGGGCAUUUCCUGACGCUGAGACGCGAAAGCGUGGGGAGCGAACCGG
rnacentral:rRNA from 1 species